rnacentral:lncRNA from 10 species
CUGACAGCAGCUUCUCAAGCUCAGGUGGCCACUUAAACUCACAUAAAUCCAUGUUUGGUUACCAAAGAUAAGCAUUUAAGCAACAUUUAUAAUUUCGUAACCUGCCUAUGUUGGGGGAAUGCAACAUUGGUCAUUCCUGCAAUACUUGCCCUAGCACACACGCAGCCCAGGGACGUUUUUCCAACCUAAUGAUGCUCACAUUUGAAAUUUUUUCCCACCCUACUAUAGACCUCACUAUUCUUGCAAAGAAGACUUUGUUCUAUCUCAACACUUAGAACUCAUGAUUCUGUUCCUGAGCUGUCCACCUCUGCCAGUGGGAGACACCCUAGACUAAGGUGAGAGGUUAAGGAAGCUAGUGGAAGGCUGGGUGUGGUGGCUCACACCUCUAAUCCCAGCACUUUGGGAGGCCGAAGUGGGAGGAUCACUUGAGGUCAGGAGUUCAAGACCAGCCUGGGCAACAUGGUGAAACCGUCUCUACUGAAAAUACAAAAACUAGCCAGGCAUGGUGACAUGUGCCUAUAAUCCCAGCUACUCGGGAGGCUGAGACUGCAGGUGCCAGAGUUCAGCACAGCAGGUUUGACUCCCCUGUAUCAGCUGCAUGAUGCUGAGCAAGUUAACAUCUCUGAAGAUCAAUUUUCCCUUGCAAAGAUGAAGGCAAAUGCCUUCCAUUGUGAGGAACCAUCAAAAUAAUGGAGGGGAUACUAGUGAAUGUUAGUGGGCGCCAGUGCUUGUCCCUCCCAUCCAGAGACCUGGUCCCCCCUAUCCAGGAGUCUUGAUUUCAAUGGUCGAAGGCCCUUCCCACAGCUUUCCAGUGAUGCAGACAGGCUGAGGUAUGCCCUUUUCUUCAGAAAACUGGCUGUUACAAUUUGCAAAGCCCGAUGCAAAAUAUUUUCAAAAUUGCUAUUAAAAAAAUUAAGAAUUUAAAGUCGAUGACAGAACAUGCAACCAAACAGGGGGCCUCCUGACUAUGGGGCCCUUUGUGACAGCACAGCCUAUGAAGACGGUCUGUCUCCAACUCACAUGGCUCUUCCCACCCUGGUUCCACACUACAAUCACCUGCAGAACUUUAGAAAGUAGAGAUGCCCUUGUACCUCCCCUGAGAUAUUUCAAACACCAAAGAGGCCCCCAGGGGACCGCAGCAGGCAGGCACGGUGGAGAGCUACUGGAGUAGAGCCUUAGGAUGCCUUGGAAGACUGUCAUGGCCCAACAUCCACAAGCAGCAGCUUAUGUGCGACUUCCCAGCGGUGUUAAGGACAUGACCUUCUGUCCUAGUUGGCGCUUAAGGUGUCAUCUGAGACUAUGUGUUGAAGAUGUGUGUGGCAGGGGGCAUGGGAAGAUAGAAAUCAUGAUCCCUGCUGAUCAUAAGGCCACAGUACCUAGAUCUUGGUUAUUCCUCCUCCCCCUACAAAAGAAAAAAAGCAAGCAGGGCUCAGGGGGUGGGGGAGACAGAGGGAAGCCAACUUCUCUUAAGUCAGUAGAUUGCAUCAUUAGGCCAAAUGCCUGACAUGACCCAUUUUACAGAAGAGUAAAAUAGACUCAGAUGACAUCCCCCUAGCUGAACGAGGCAGGGAUUUCCCAUCUUCAGCUGCAUUCGCUUAUAACUAAAAAAAAGGUGGCUUCUCAGAGUAGAAGGAUGGUUGCCAGGAGUUGGGGGAAACGGGGAGAUGUUGAUCAAAGGGCACAAUCUUUGUCAUGACAUGAACAAAUUUUGGGUUGUAAGGCACAGCAUGAGUGGUGGCAGCUGUGUUAAUCUGUGGUAGUCAUUACACGAUGCUUAGGUAUUUCCAAUCAACACAUUAUAGACACCGAAUAUAUACAGUCUUUGUCUGUUAAAUAUUUAAAAGAGGCAGCUUUUGGCCAGGCAUGGUG